UCCGGUUUGGCACCGGCAGUCUCCAAUGAGUCCCCGGCAUUACCCGCUGGCAACAUUGGACAGGGGUUGCGCUCGUUGCGCCACUUAAGGCAACACCUCACGGCACGAGCCGACGACAGCCAUGCAACACCUGUGCGGGCUCCCGAAGGAGGACCGUAUUUCUACGGCUUCACCCCACAUGUCAAGCCCUGGUAAGGUUCUUCGCGUUGCGUCGAAUUAAGCCACAUGCUCCGCCGCUUGUGCGGGCCCCCGUCAAUUCCUUUGAGUUUUAGCCUUGCGGCCGUACUCCCCAGGCGGGGCGCUUAAUGCGUUAGCUGCGGCACGGAGGCCGUGGAAGGACCCCCACACCUAGCGCCCAACGUUUACGGCGUGGACUAC
rnacentral:misc_RNA from 1 species